UCCAAGUCGCUUUUUGAUCAG
rnacentral:piRNA from 1 species